AGUGACGAUAGCCUAGGAGAUACACCUGUACCCAUGCCGAACACAGAAGUUAAGCCCUAGAACGCCGGAAGUAGUUGGGGGUUGCCCCCUGUGAGAUAGGGAAGUCGCUUGGCU
rnacentral:rRNA from 1 species